rnacentral:misc_RNA from 1 species
GAUGAAGAACGCAGCGAAAUGCGAUAAGUAGUGUGAAUUGCAGAUUUCAGUGAAUCAUCGAAUCUUUGAACGCACAUUGCGCCCGCUGGUAUUCCGGCGGGCAUGCCUGUUCGAGCGUCAUUUCAACCCUCAAGCUCUCCGGAGUUUGGUGUUGGGGCGCCUGGGGCUUUUCGACCUCAGGGCCCUCAAGUCCAUCGGCGGGACCGCCAGGACACUGAGCGCAGUAGUAUUAUUUCGCUCGGUAGGAUCUUCCACGGCGGGUCGAUCUGGCCGCUAAACCCCCCAAUUCUCACCAAAGGUUGACCUCGGAUCAGGUAGGAAUACCCGCUGAACUUAAGCAUAUCAAUAAGCGGAGGA